rnacentral:lncRNA from 1 species
AUUUUGAACAAUUCUGAAAACAUUUUUCAAGCUCAUACUCAUUUUAGCUGGAGCAGGCGCAGUUAAAAAAAGUAAUGGUAAUAACAUAGUUAUCGUUUUUUUUUUUUAAUUAUGAAGCAAGUAGUUAAUGAAAGUAUUAUGGGAACGGUUGUGGUAAAAAUUAUAUUUUCAAUCAUAUUUAAAACCCUCUUUUUAUAUUAACUACAAUCAAAUAAUCAUAGUAAUAAAAUUACUAUUUUUGAACUAUUUCAAAAAUUAUACCAAAUCAUUUUUCAAGCUCACUCAAGCUUGAGCGCAUGUCCAUGGCACUUACAAAAAGUAAUUAUAACAACACAAUUACCAUGUAUUUGUUGCUUUUUAAAGUAUGUAAUUAAUUAAAAAAAUAUUAUGAUAAGGUUGCAGUAAAAUAUUAAAAAACUAUUCAAAAUCACUUUUCAAGCUCACUUGAGCUUGGGCGCGCCACUCUAAAGAAUAAUUAUAACGUUGCAGUUACCAUAAAUUUGUUGCUUUUAUAGUAUGCAAUUAAUAAAAAGUAGUAUGAUAAGGUUGCGCUGUCGCGGUUAAUUUAAAUGAGCUUUUUAAAAUUUAAAAAAGCAAAAAAUUUACAAUUAAAUAAUUAAAAAUACAAUAAAUUAUAUAAAAAAUGCUUUUUCUUUUUCUUUUUUUUCCUAUUUCAAAAUCUGAUGCCAAAAUCUGGAUAAGUUGGUCAGAUCUCUAAUCCCUGCAUCAUUAUUAAAUUUGUUUGGUGGGAAGCUGAUGAUUAGUUAGCAUCAUGAGCAGAUUUUCUAUGAGCAGAUGUUCUGUGAGCAGACAACCCAUAAGCAGAUGAUCCAUGAGCAGAUAACUCAUGAGCAGACGAUCCAUGAGCAGACAACCCAUGAGCAGACGAUCCAUGAGCAGACAACCCAUGAGCAGACAAUCCAUGAGCAGAUAACAUGUGAGCCUGUGAACACAACCAACAGUCAGGAAGUGCCGAACGUUUUUUCGGUGAGAACCCUCCGACGCUCAAGUCAGCGAUUCGGGUCUUACUUGGAAAAACUCAUACCAUAAUUCAUGUGGCUUAACUAUGAUUGCUUUAAACAAAAAGCUUUUAAGUAAAUUUAAAAGAAAAGAAUUUGAAAUAAUCAAUCUUAAAGAAAUCACAAGCGAAAGAGAAAUUUCUCAGUGGUAGAGAGAGAAAAAUAUCCAAUGGGUUCAGUUGCUUAGAGAGAGAGAGAGAGAGAGAGAGCUAAAAGAAUCCCCCAUUUCCUUUCCAUUUCUAGGGUUUUUAUAGGAAACUAUAGCGGUUUUCAUCCACUCUCCAAGAAUUAUUAAGAAAACUAUUAAUUUUUAGCCCACUAAGAAUAUGGUCCCUAAUAUUUCGGAGAAACUGUUUUGACUGAAUCGUGCUUUCUGGUAACUUCCUGGUCGAGGUGACCAAUAACAUCCUGGUCGAGAUGAUCUGCUCGAGGUGACCAAUAACCUCCUGGUCGAGGUGACCAAUAACAUCCUGGUCGAGAUGAUCUACUUGAGGUGACCAAUAACCUCCUGGUCGAGGUGAUGUGCUCGAGGUCACCACAUAUUAUUCUGGUCGAGGUGACCAAUAACAUCCUGGUCGAGAUGAUCUGCUUGAGGUGACCAAUAACCUCCUGGUCGAGGUGAUGUGCUCGAGGUCACCACAUAUUACUCUAGUCGAGGUGACCAAUAACAUCUUGGUCGAGGUGAUGUGCUCGAGGUCACCAAACAACAUCUUAGUCGAGGUGAUCUGCUCAACCAUUUGCUCGCUUUUACUCCGGAGGAGAGCACGAUAAUGUAUGAGCAAACACAUUUAUCUUGGUCACCCUAUUUCAUUCCCUAAACAAAAUCUAUACCAGCGAAUUUUUAGGCUCACUAGAGUUUGAGCCACCCGAUAAAGUAAUGGUAAUAGUACACUGACCAAAUAUUAGAAGCGAUAGUAGUACUAAUUUAAAAUUGCAAGU